CAGGAUCUGGAAAUAGUGUAUUCCUAUUUACAUGGUAUGGAAGCCUUGUCAAACCUGAGGGAGCAUCAACUCAGGUUAAUGUGUGAAACUGUGAGAUACGAAAGACACGAAGCAAAUGAGGUUUUAUACUAUCCUGAUGACAUUGGGACCUGCUGGUAUAUUCUUCUCUCUGGCUCCGUGUUCAUCAAGGAAUCCAUGUUUCUUCCAAGGAGCAGGUAGUGUACAGACGCUCUGUAAUAGACGGUCCCGAAGUUCUUUUGUGGGAAGGAGUUCUUUUGUAAACUUCGUUCUC